AUCCCUUGACAUCCUGCGAACUUUCUAGAGAUAGAUUGGUGCCUUCGGGAACGCAGUGACAGGUGCUGCAUGGCUGUCGUCAGCUCGUGUCGUGAGAUGUUGGGUUAAGUCCCGCAACGAGCGCAACCCUUAUCUUUAGUUGCUACCAUUUAGUUGAGAACUCUAAAGAGACUGCCGGUGAUAAACCGGAGGAAGGCGGGGACGACGUCAAGUCAUCAUGGCCCUUAUGGGAUGGGCUACACACGUGCUACAAUGGCCGGUACAGAGAGUCGCGAAGUCGCGAGGGGGAGCUAAUCUCACAAAGCCGGUCGUAGUCCGGAUUGGAGUCUGCAACUCGACUCCAUGAAGUCGGAAUCGCUAGUAAUCGUGAAUCAGAAUGUCACGGUGAAUACGUUCCCGGGCCU
rnacentral:rRNA from 1 species